CGUUGCCCGGAUUUAUUGGGCGUAAAGGGCGCGCAGGCGGCCACGCACGUCCGUUGUGAAAUCGCUCGGCUCAACUGGGCGGGGUCAGCGGAUACGGCGUGGCUGGAGCAAGCUAGGGGGCAAUGGAAUUCCCGGUGUAGUGGUGGAAUGCGUAGAUAUCGGGAGGAACACCAGUGGCGAAGGCGGUUGCCUGGAGCUUUGCUGACGCUGAGGCGCGAAAGCGUGGGGAGCGAUCCGG
rnacentral:rRNA from 1 species